rnacentral:lncRNA from 1 species
GUCAGGAAGCUGCAGUAUGUGAAAGUCAUGAAAUUGAAAUGAGCGCAUCUUUUGCCAGCUGGUUUCACACCCCCAGUUGGCAAUCCGCAAAGGUUUAGAGGGGGAAUUAAAUCCACUUUUCAGCAGAAAUAACUAUUUUUGUGAUUAUCAUAUAGAUUCCAUGAGCUACACUUUGGUCCUAUCAAGACAGGCAGGCAGCUGCAUGAGAGGUGGAAAGAGAGAAAAUGAUUGAGAUGAAAUCACCACCAACAACUAUUGCAGGCAGCAAAGCAGCAUUGGAUUCCAGCCACCAUACUUCUGCAACCAGGUGUGAAUGAGCCUGAUGGGAUGUUAUUAUGGAUCCUACACUGAAAAAGGCUGCUAUUUUGAGCUAACCUCAGUACCCACAGAGGGCUCCAUGACCCAUCCAUCGACUGCUGAGCUUGCUAUGAGACUAACUGCAACUCUGAGCCUGGUUUUCCCUCCCAUCUGGCAGUGAAAAUGAACUGCUGCUGACUGAAUGACCACUGAUUCUCUUGGAAGCAGAGCUCUGCUAAGAGCAACAGCCAACUC